rnacentral:lncRNA from 1 species
GAUAAAAAAGUGAUCUCCAAAAAAAGAAAACUAAUUAGUAAAUAAGAAUUAAUUUUGGGCUGGAGACCCGGGAUCAAACCAUCCGGUGUGCAUGGUCUCAACAUCAUAUUUUUUCAAAUAAAAACUCGAGAUUGACAUAAUAGAUGCAGUUGGUCUUAAAACGAUGUCGCAGAGAUUCGGCUUGCUAAAGAUACGGCGCAGUGAGGCAUCUCCGUAAUAACCAACGCUUGUUUUCCUAGGUCAUGCAAUCGCAUCCACUUAUUCUCCCCUACGUCAAACUUGAACACCUGAAACGCUUCAAUCCCGUUGCCUGACCUCCUCAUCACCAGCCAAAACUCGCCGGAAAGUGACCUCACCCUGUACGGCAAGGCAAGGUUGGUCCACUUUGGAAUUUUAUGAGUUGGCCAUCGUCCACGGUUUAUCUUCUCUGGGUUCUCUGAAUCAUUUUUUAUUUUGCAACUGAAAAUCUUUUCUUCUAUGCUACCGGAGUCUAAGGUGUAGAGACGAUCAUUAUAUAUCAUCAAGUCCUGGGAACUGAUAAUUCUAAGUAAAAUAAUAAAAUUAUAUAUAUUUAAAUAGUAAUUAAACACUUAAUAAAAAAAGAAACAAAAUCAAAACAGUUUAACUUGCAAAGGAUUUUAGUAAACCCGCCUCCCCUGUUAUUUGAAACAGAGAGAAAAUUACAUCAAUUGAAGCUCCUUCUGAAUUAUACUCAUGGUCUGAUCUUCCACAGGAUCUUCUUGAGUUGAUCUUCACUUUCACCAAAUACCCAGCAGACAUCAUUCGCUGCAGUGCCGUCUGUCAAUCAUGGCACUCUGUUGCUUCAACCUAUUCAAUAUCUCCCGGCAGAUGCACUCUAUUCAAUAUCUCCCCGCAUGGUACCCGCAAAAUCAACCUUCCCGAAGAAUCAUCGCCGGCGGCGGCUAAUAAAUCCAUCUUCUACAUCGGAAUCAGCAACGGAUGGUUAUUAACAGUCGGGUCCAACCGGCCGUUCGAGAUUCAUCUCUUGAAUCCUUUCUCCGGGCUCCGACUCCUCCUUCCGCCAUUACGUUCAAAUCUUCCUUACGCGCUGGCGAUACCUAAGCAAUGAACCAUAACGGGCUUCAAGGUCUCGUCCUGCCCUUCUCACCCACUCUGCUUCGUGGUUGUCACUUUCUAAUUCGGGAUUGGCGGAGUUAUCUGCAGACCAGGGGACACCCAAUGGAAGGAUAUUGACC